CUAUCAUAUAAGAGGAGGACGAUGAUGAUACUAUAUAUGUUCGCUCGCCGGACGUAAUGGCGAGAUUUUGCCUUGCCGAGCCUGCUUUACUGCUGUUCUGAGUCCUCUCUUCAUCUCAUAAAACUAGGCAGCAUUACGCACGCCUUAUUUUCUUCUUGCCAUAAAGCAUUGAGUUCACGUCAUCCUUAAUUAAUUACAUUAAUGUUAUUUUUCGUUUUCCUUUCCAGUUGAGGUCCAACAUGGUGGAAGUGGUAUUGUCAUUGGCAGCUUAUUUGAAUCCGCAAUUAAAUUUUUCACGGUCAAUUCGGAAGCAAACCACACUUUUAUUUAUUUAUUUAGUUAUGUUGCUUAAAGCUUUCCAAACACUAAAAUUGGAUAAAUAGUAUUAAAAUGAUUUUAUGCUGGGGAGGAAAAUGAAGCUGAGGAAUUAAUUUUUAAGCUAGCAAGUCCAGAACAACUGGCCUUUUCUCCUUCGCUUUGAACUGCCUAUCACAGACUUUUCAUGGCAUAAAGGAUGAAGCAUCCUCUAACUGGUAUUUUUUUGGCAGCAUAAACUCAUUCAAUUCGACAAAUUGAUAACAGGUUUAAGACUGCGCGCGGUCGAGAAGGAGCAAGAGGCUUCAGACGGGCGGCGGAGCAAAACCGAAACAGAGAUGCAAUUAGCAAGAGAAAGAAAACGAGUAUCGAACCGCAUUUACAGCAGACGGAUGAAAUGGAUAAAACAUAAGACUUCAGACUCUUUACAGAUUCACAAGUGCACAGUUCUAGCUACCUCAAAGACACGAUUAUAAUAAAAACCUAGCAUAGCACCAGUUCAGCACGCUCACACAGAGCCACCGUGAGAUGUAGCGCCUUGAUUGCCCAAGAAAUGAACGACAACACAGGUGAUGUUAUCUGCACUUCCUCUCUGGUACGCCUCCUGCAACAACCUCUUUGCUGCCUGCUCUGGGUCCGUGAUCGGCUUGAUCAUUUCAACAGCUUCCUGAGGAGAAAGGAUGUAGCAUCAGAUGGUGAUGGCAGCAGCAAAACACCAUCCUUUGUUUUUAUUUUCACAAGCAAAAAACCUUAUUAAAUUGCAUUAAAGGCCAGUUUACACCAGAUCAUUUGCAAGAAAGAAUACAGGAAACCAAUACACCCCGUGAUAUAAAAGCAUAAAGGAAACAAAAAGAGAUUGUUCCAAACCUCGUUUGUGACAACGUCCCAUAAUCCAUCACUUGCAAGGAUGAGAAACUCAAGGGACCUGUCAACCUUUUCCUCCUACAGUUUCCAUGAGAAUGUCAGUGGCUAAAACAUGCUCAAAAGUGAGAUGGAGAGGAGAAAAGCAAUACAAGGCUCGAGAACCCUAAAAUGCAACGACACUUCAGCAAUAUUCAAGCAUUUGCGGAUAAAUUACUAUCUCCAAAACACACCACUGUAAACAUCUAGGUGCUAUGUGCUCACGAGUAAUGAGAUUCAAAAAUUUGGAAGGUUUAUCCUUUUAAGAUAUAUCUUAAUUUGAAUACUGUCAACCAUUCUUCCUACAUCCCUUGCUCUUUGAAUAGAUUAAGAAUCAGACCUGGAUCUCUGGAUCAGCAACAACAUACUGCUUCAAAAGCCUAUCACCAAAUGCACGGGAGACAGCUAGGACGCCACCAACUCUCCAAGUACCUAUCAUUAUGUUUUCAGUCAUCAUAAGAAUUUAUCGCCAAAAAGCUUUCAGUAAGUAUUUAAAACAAAAGGCUGGGUGAAGUCCUUACCUGCCCACAUGACAAAUCCUCCAGCAUCUUCAAUCCGCUGUCGUUCAUCAGUCUGGUCUGGCUUGUGAUCUCGGGAAACAGCAAUAGCUGAAGAAAAUGGCAAGAUAGUUUGACUUAAUUAUUAACAACUAAACAGUCAACACCCCAGUAAUAAAAAAAAAUAAUCUAUAAUGCUCCAUCCCAGAGCAUCUGGUUUUCUUUCUAUCUGUAUUGCUUCAUUGUCAUUGUCCUGCUUUAACAGGCCAAUACUAAAUUUUCUUGAACUUUAUAAAUUACAUCUUACCAUA